rnacentral:rRNA from 2 species
UGGGAAAAAAAGGAGCUGCUUCUUGACGUUAGCGGCGGACGGGUGAGUAACACGUGGGCAACCUGCCUGUAAGACUGGGAUAACUCCGGGAAACCGGAGCUAAUACCGAGAUAACAUUUUCUCUUGCAUAAGAGAAAAUUGAAAGAUGGUUUCGGCUAUCACUUACAGAUGGGCCCGCGGUGCAUUAGCUAGUUGGUGAGGUAACGGCUCACCAAGGCAACGAUGCAUAGCCGACCUGAGAGGGUGAUCGGCCACACUGGGACUGAGACACGGCCCAGACUCCUACGGGAGGCAGCAGUAGGGAAUCUUCCGCAAUGGACGAAAGUCUGACGGAGCAACGCCGCGUGAGUGAUGAAGGCUUUCGGGUCGUAAAACUCUGUUGUUAGGGAAGAACAAGUACAAGAGUAACUGCUUGUACCUUGACGGUACCUAACCAGAAAGCCACGGCUAACUACGUGCCAGCAGCCGCGGUAAUACGUAGGUGGCAAGCGUUAUCCGGAAUUAUUGGGCGUAAAGCGCGCGCAGGCGGUUUCUUAAGUCUGAUGUGAAAGCCCACGGCUCAACCGUGGAGGGUCAUUGGAAACUGGGGAACUUGAGUGCAGAAGAGAAAAGCGGAAUUCCACGUGUAGCGGUGAAAUGCGUAGAGAUGUGGAGGAACACCAGUGGCGAAGGCGGCUUUUUGGUCUGUAACUGACGCUGAGGCGCGAAAGCGUGGGGAGCAAACAGGAUUAGAUACCCUGGUAGUCCACGCCGUAAACGAUGAGUGCUAAGUGUUAGAGGGUUUCCGCCCCUUUAGUGCUGCAGCUAACGCAUUAAGCACUCCCCCCUGGGGAAUACGGUCGGCAAGACUGAAAACUCAAAGGGAAUUGACGGGGGGCCCGCCACAAACCGGUGGAAGCAUGUUGGUUUAAAUUCAAAAGCAACCGCGAAAGAAACUUUACCAAGGUCUUGGACAUUCCUCCUGACAAACUCUAGGAGAUAGAAACCGUUCCCCUUUCUGGGGGGACA